UUUUUCUUUCUCAACCCACCACAAAUCCUAAAACCAUCAUUCGUUGUUAAUCCCCUCUCAUUCCAACAUCCGCAACUACGACGUGAAGUCAACCGGGUCUCUUAAACCGUUAAACUACAACUGUGGCGUGAACCAAAAGGCAUUCUUGUAAUUUUGGAAUAGCAAAGAGGCUGAGCAAUUUUCGUGUACAAGAUAUAAGGUUGAGUAUUCAAUUUUUGGAAAGAAAAUGGAUAUCUGCCAAUGUCGUAGUUGGAUGUAUAAUAGGCUAAAUCCUAGUCGAAAGGGGUAUACUGAUGCAUUUUUAAACGGGUUAAACGAAUUUGUGUCAUUUGCAAUCCAACAACCAGACAUAUCAAAUAGAGAAAUUAGAUGUCCUUGUUCUGUUUGUAAAAACAUUGAUUUCUUAGAUUUUGAAGUGGUUAAGGUUCAUAUUUUACGAAAAGGGUUUAAACCUGACUACUGGUAUUGGACAUCUCAUGGAGAAAGUGAUCCAGAGUUGCAUGUAGAAAUUAAAAGGAAACAAUCUGCACAAGAGCGACAUAACAUUUAUUUUAAUAGAUUUGAAAACAUGGUUUAUGAUGCUACUGGACCACAAUAUCAAAUGCAUUGUGAUGAAGAAUUAGAGGAGUCCCCAAAUAUAGAUGAUCAAAAGUUCUAUGAU